UCUCUUUUCUCGUUCUAUCUUUCUUCCUUUCUAUCAUGGAACAUAAUGGACAACGAGCAUCUUGGAGGCGCAGUUCGUGAUGGCGAAGACGUCAAGGUGUCGGAUCUUGUCAGCGACGGCUACUCCAUUGCCCAGAAUAUAACCUGAGCCCUUUGUCAAAUUGAAUUACUGCAAACUUUUCUUGAUCUCCGCAUAUGGCGACACCUAAAUCAUAGGUUUCGGUUGCUCAUUUGUUCCAUUCGUACCUGCUGCUUGCAUUCUCAUAAAUACCCACCUACUUAGUGAUCUUGGGUGAGUUUCUUCACUAGCAUACAUAUAGAUAUCUAAAAGCAUAUGCAAACACAGAAUGUGGAAGCCUGCAAAACUAGAGGAAAUUGCUAUUGCUGUUUCUACCCUGAAUAGCCAGUUGAAGAAAUUCUUAAUCCAUAUGCGAUAUUCCCUCAACCAGAGGAAAACUUUAAGGUAAUACCAAUCACUUUUUCUUUUGUUGUUCUUUUGUUACAAUGUACUCCAAUUACUUCAGAAAGCUAUUAGGUGGACAGAAAACUAAAAAAAAAAAAAAAUUUGCUACAUGUAAUUUCAAAAAUAGUGAUUGUAUUUUUGCAUAUCAGUGUUGCCUUUGCAUAUCAGUGGGGUGUUUAAUGAUAUAAUAAUGCAUAUGGAGUUAUGCGGUUACUUCCAAGGAUAAUUCUCCAUUGCAUUCAAUAUCUUAAUUUAUACCAUUGUACCUGUUAAGCUGCACAUGCUUUCAGGAUUGUUUUCUUUACUUUCAUAGUUGGUCACAGAGGUGCUGAGUUUAAUUACAGUUCAGAUUGCUUAGUUUAAACCAACUAAGCUUCGGGAUGCCGAUUUAUUGUCUCAUACUAUGAUAUCACAUUGCCAAGUUCUUUGCCACACUUCCAGUAUCUUAUUUAUGCACUCUGGGACGCUUUUUGACAAAAGAUGUGAUAGCAGAUGACCUAUAAUUUAUUAUAACUUGGCAACAUACUCCUUCACUUAUCUAUGAAGAUGCUACCUCUGUUGAUGCAUGAGACUGUUGUUUGUGUGACAUCUUUUUGUUGAUGAUGCACAACAUUUUGGUCAAUUUUGUUCUUUGACAUGGAUACGACUGAUUGUGGUGUGCUUUUGAUUGUAGGCAGGGUCUGACUUGGGCCCAACUGAUGCAUUUGGUAGAGCAAGAGAAAAUACUAUGUGGGGCGUCUCUCUUAUGAUCGGUUACCUUGGGUAUAUUCUGGACAUUUCCUUUAUGGUUAUGCUUUUUUGUAUUUUUUUUGUCAUUAGCUGUUGAAAUAAACGUUAAAUGGCCUUCAAUUAAAACAUAUGAAUUUAUUCUACUUACAUAUCCAGUUAUUGUAAUAAGUUAUUACUUUUGUUUCUACGCAUGCUAUUGAAAGUAGUUCCUCCUUUUUUGAUACUC
rnacentral:lncRNA from 1 species